rnacentral:rRNA from 1 species
GUGCCAGCCGCCGCGGUAAGACGGAGGGUGCUAGCGUUGUUCGGAAUGACUGGGCGUAAAGGGCGCGUAGGCGGCUUGGCAAGUCGGGUGUGAAAGCCCGGGGCUCAACCCCGGAACGGCAUCCGAUACUGCUUGGCUUGAGACCGGGAGAGGAGGGUGGAAUACCCAGUGUAGAGGUGAAAUUCGUAGAUAUUGGGUGGAACACCGGUGGCGAAAGCGGCUCUCUGGCCCGGAUCUGACGCUGAGGCGCGAAAGCGUGGGGAGCAAACAGGAUUAGAUACCCGCGUAGUCC